UCCUUCCUGCUCCUGUCUCUUUCUCUGUCACUCUGCCAGCCAAAUAAGCAAGUCUUUAAAAACAAACAAAUAAACAGCAGGACAAAGCAUGACUGCCAAUCCCAGACCAGCCACAAGUGACCAGGCCAGCAAACACAGGACAAGCCGGAAAGCUCUUAAGCCCUUAGAAAUGAACAAGGAAAGGAGGCAUUACAACACCAUUUCUGAUGUGGAAGUGCAGGCUGGACAGGCAGUACACCAGGGCUGAAGAUUCAUGGGGCACCGUGAAGUUCAAUGGGUAGCCCUGGGGUUCAGGGGCUGCUCUUAUCUCAACAGACCUCCCUGAUUUAAGAAGACAGUUGCAGAGGAACUGUGCAUCUAGUUUGCUUCUAGAUCAUUUUUGCUUUAAAAAAAAAAGUCUUGCUGGUUCUAA